rnacentral:rRNA from 1 species
UACUGAGGGGGCUAGCGUUGUUCGGAAUUACUGGGCGUAAAGCGCACGUAGGCGGCUUUGCAAGUCAGAGGUGAAAGCCCGGGGCUCAACCCCGGAAUAGCCUUUGAGACUGCAUCGCUUGAACAUCGGAGAGGUAAGUGGAAUUCCGAGUGUAGAGGUGAAAUUCGUAGAUAUUCGGAAGAACACCAGUGGCGAAGGCGACUUACUGGACGAUUGUUGACGCUGAGGUGCGAAAGCGUGGGGAGCAAACAGG